rnacentral:lncRNA from 1 species
UCUAGUUACCAUGACAAUAUUUUAUCUUCUACUAACAGUUUAUUUUAAUUACUAAAAAAAUCGUAAAGAAAAAUACAUUUUUUUAAAUUCAAAAAACUUUUACACCUUAUGUUCUAGAAUAUAUACAAAUAAGUUUUUUCAUUAUUUUAAAAGUGCCUUUUACUUAUACAAGUGGUUGUGUAUUUAUAUCAUGACAGUUUCACAUAUAUCUAUUAUUUUAUGACACAAAUCUACAAAGUAUAUACCAAUUUUCAAAAAUUAUCAAAAUUUUAACUGAAGCAAUUGAAAGAAACCGCUUGGCAUUGAUAUGCUACUUGAUCAUGUAUUAAGAUGUGAACCACAUUAAAAACUGAAAAGCCACUGGUUUUUUUUUUUUUUCAAUUAAAAUAUUUAUAAGAAACAAGAAGUCAUAAGUCAUAUUCAUUUCAUCAUAACAUGUGAUUGUCUGAUUAUUUUGUGUGAAAAAAGACAGAUGUCCAUACUUACAAGAAAAUGGAACAUGCCAUAGGUUUGGACUAAAAUUUAUACUUUAAAAUUGGUGCUUAACUUGCAUUUGUGGACUAACUUUUGCAGGUUUUGAUGUUGUAUAAUUGCCAAAAAUUGUUGUAUUUUAAGUGUUCAGCAAAUUAUUGUUACAGCAAACUUGCCACACUGUUUGUUGUUUAAACUGUUAUUGUGUGUUUUUUUACUAUUUCUUUUGUUGCUUUAUAACUUAUGUGUAUUCUAAUUACGCUGAUAAGCAUAUAGAAAUGAAAUGAAAAAAUUCUGAGAAAUUGAAGAAAUAAAAUCGUUUCAUUUCCUUAUCAGGUUAGCUGUUGAUUAAAUUUGUAAAUGAAAUUUUUUUUACAUUUAAUUUUAAGUCCAUGUGUUUUAAAUUUUUUGUUGAUGUAAGCAUAAAAGAAAGGUACACAUUUGAAAAAAGUUUAGACAGCUUUUAGAAGCUUUUUAUAAAAAAAUAGCUUAAAGUUGUUUAUAACUUUUGAAAAGCACAAAAAGUACCAUUAUGAUUUUUUUUUAGCUGAAACAUUUUCUUGUUAAAAAAAUUAUCUUAUGUAUUUAAAUUUUAAUAUAUAGGACAAGAUUGUACAUAUUUAAUUUUCAGAACCAAAAUUUAAGUUGAGGUUUUGCUAUUUAUUUGCUAUUUAUUUUAAAUUCCUAUUUUUUUUUUUUAUUUCUAUAGUUUUUUACAAGCUUGAGAUAUCCAAAGAUAAUUGUAUCAGAAAAGAUGUGUAAAAAAUGCUUUAUAUCUUUCAAACACUACAUUAACAAAGAAGAGACAAAAAAGAAACAAAUUCAUAUCUUUAUUGUAAAACAGAAGUUUAUAAGGGUAUUAUUUCAGAGGACUUAUUCAUUUUAUCAUGCACAUUUCAUUACAACAUCUAUCUAGGUCCAUUUUGGUGAAAACUGAUGUUUAAUAAGAAAACAACAUACCCAAAUUUUAAUUUCUUCAUAUGAGAGGAAGAAAUAUAUAUUGAACUAUGAAGAGUGUAAAAGAAAUGGAUAUAUUUUGUCAGAUGCUUAAUUGAAUUUCAUAUUAAAUCAAAUAAAUAUCAGUAAAACUGAGAUAUCAAGAGAAGAGGGGGAGGACAGGGAGAAAGGAGAAGAAGGCUGGGAGAAAGGAGAAAAAGUUGGAGAAAGGAGAAAAAUUUUUGAUUUAUCUCAAAAGGAGAUGUUUUAUUCUAAUGGGAGAAAGGAGAACCGGGUAGGAGAAAGGAGAAGAGGGGUGGGAGAAGGGAGAAGGGUACCCCCCUGUCCUCCCCCUCAGAGAACGUCCUCAAGAGAUGCACAAAUUUAUUUCUAACUUUACAAUAAUGCAUUUGUACAUCAUAUAUAUCUGUCAUACGUUUAUCAUUCAGUAAAUCAUCAGUUAUACAUAAAAUGAUAUUAUUACCACCAGAUAUUUUUUGUGUUACAUGUUUUUUUGUGUGUUAAAAUUACAUUGUUUUUUUAUGUCAAAUUUUUUUCUGUUGUUGUAUACAUGAAAAUAAGGCUGGGAUACAACAACACAAUUAACAGAGUGUAGCUAUAUUAUUCCAAACAUAGCUUUAUAGAACAUUUAUAAUGGACCAUUAGAAAAAGAUUUUGAGUUUUCCAUGUCUCGUCUCGUUAGGAGUGUUAUAUGUAAGAUCCACUAUAUAAGUAAAAUUAGAAAAAAAAAUGAAAAAGCUUAAAAAUGAAAAAAACUCAUUAAUACAUACAUAUUUUUGAUGAGAAGUAUAUUUUAUACUGGGCAGAUGGUACAUUGCAUUCCCUAUCAUUGGGUCACAUCAUAUCUUUGGAUAUAUUUUAUCAUUUGUAAUAAAAUACAACUGAUAGUUUAUUAUUGUUUUCUUAUUUUUCAACUGUACAAGAAGAAGAAAAAAACAUGCUAGUUCUGGCCUUUCCAAGAUAUUGUUACCUUGUAAUACAAAUUUCCUUGUAGAUAUCGUCACAUAAUGAGAUAUAUGAAUGUCUUUUCCAAG